rnacentral:lncRNA from 1 species
GGACUUCUCCAAGCUAUAUACAGCCUGCGGAGAUCCAAUAUGGCUAUAUGGAUUUCCUUCGUCUCCCCUGCUCUUACCUGGUGAUACGGCGCCACUUGUCUACGCGCCGACGAGAAGCCGGAGUCGACGACGUGGGAGCUGGGUGGAGGGGUGGGAGAUGGACAAGAACGGCUCAUCAACGAGGUAGCCGGUGGUCACAGGUGGUGGUUGAGGCCGCUAGCACUAGAGGUUAGGAUUAGAGUUCGG